rnacentral:rRNA from 1 species
CUUUCAGCGAGGAAGAACGCCUAUCGGUUAAUACCCGGUAGGAAAGACAUCACUCGCAGAAGAAGCACCGGCUAACUCCGUGCCAGCAGCCGCGGUAAUACGGAGGGUGCAAGCGUUAAUCGGAAUUACUGGGCGUAAAGCGCGCGUAGGUGGCUUGAUAAGCCGGUUGUGAAAGCCCCGGGCUCAACCUGGGAACGGCAUCCGGAACUGUCAGGCUAGAGUGCAGGAGAGGAAGGUAGAAUUCCCGGUGUAGCGGUGAAAUGCGUAGAGAUCGGGAGGAAUACCAGUGGCGAAGGCGGCCUUCUGGACUGACACUGACACUGAGGUGCGAAAGCGUGGGUAGCAAACAGGAUUAGAUACCCUGGUAGUCCACGCCGUAAACGAUGUCGACCAGCCGUUGGGUGCCUAGAGCACUUUGUGGCGAAGUUAACGCGAUAAGUCGACCGCCUGGGGAGUACGGCCGCAAGGUUAAAACUCAAAUGAAUUGACGGGGGCCCGCACAAGCGGUGGAGCAUGUGGUUUAAUUCGAUGCAACGCGAAGAACCUUACCUACCCUUGACAUCUACAGAAGCCGGAAGAGAUUACUGUGGCCUUCGGAACNUAAACAGCU